AGUGGCGGACGGGUGAGUAACACGUGAGCAACCUGCCUCUGAGAGAGGGAUAGCUUCUGGAAACGGAUGGUAAUACCUCAUAGUAUAAUUGAACCGCAUGAUUUGAUUAUCAAAGAUUUAUCACUCAGAGAUGGGCUCGCGUCUGAUUAGAUAGUUGGUGAGGUAACGGCUCACCAAGUCGACGAUCAGUAGCCGGACUGAGAGGUUGAACGGCCACAUUGGGACUGAGACACGGCCCAGACUCCUACGGGAGGCGGCAGUGGGGAAUAUUGCACAAUGGGGGAAACCCUGAUGCAGCGAUGCCGCGUGGAGGAAGAAGGUUUUCGGAUUGUAAACUCCUGUCUUAAAGGACGAUAAUGACGGUACUUUAGGAGGAAGCUCCGGCUAACUACGUGCCAGCCGCGGC
rnacentral:rRNA from 1 species